AAUUUGAAGAUAUCAGCGCAAGCACCCACAGCAUCUGGGUUAACCCAUUCUUCACAUAGAAAGGAUAACUCAGAAUUGAACCAAGAAAAUUUUGGGAUGAUGUCAGAAAAUACGAGUACAACACCAUCAAAUAACGCAUUUUCAACUAGAAUGCAACCUGGACCCACAAAUUCAGGUUCUCAAACUG